GCCAGCAGCCAUAUCACCCUGCAACUCACAACCGGCAACCCACUGGAGCUCAGCAGGUGUGAGCCUGGUAAGUACCUGGAUGGGAGACUCCUGGGAAAAACUAAGGUUGCUGCUGGAA
rnacentral:rRNA from 1 species